AACUAACGCUGGCGGCGCGCCUAAUACAUGCAAGUCGAACGAUGUAGCAAUACAUAGUGGCGCACGGGAGAGUAACACGUGGAUAAUCUCCCCUCGAGAGAGGAAUAACUAGUCGAAAGAUUGGCUAAUACUUCAUAAGACCACAGAAACUAAUGUUUCAGGGGUAAAAGUCGUAAGACGCUUGAGGAUGAGUCUGCGUCCCAUUAGCUAGUUGGUGAGGUAACGGCUCACCAAGGCGACGAUGGGUAGCUGGUCUGAGAGGAUGAUCAGCCUCACUGGAACUGACACACGGUCCAGACUCCUACGGGAGGCAGCAGUAGGGAAUAUUGCACAAUGGGCGAAAGCCUGAUGCAGCGACGCCGCGUGAGUGAUGAAAGGCCUUCGGUCGUAAAGCUCUGUCGUAUGGGACUAACACAAUGAAGGUACCGAUGCAAGAAAGGAAUCGGCUAAACUUCGUGCCAGCAGCCGCGGUAAU
rnacentral:rRNA from 1 species